AGUGGCGAACGGGUGAGUAAUGCAUCGGAACGUACCGUGUAGUGGGGGAUAACGUAGCGAAAGUUACGCUAAUACCGCAUACGCCCUGAGGGGGAAAGUGGGGGACCGCAAGGCCUCACGCUAUAUGAGCGGCCGAUGUCGGAUUAGCUAGUUGGUAGGGUAAAGGCCUACCAAGGCGACGAUCCGUAGCGGGUCUGAGAGGAUGAUCCGCCACACUGGGACUGAGACACGGCCCAGACUCCUACGGGAGGCAGCAGUGGGGAAUUUUGGACAAUGGGCGCAAGCCUGAUCCAGCCAUGCCGCGUGAGUGAAGAAGGCCUUCGGGUUGUAAGGCUCUUUCAGACGGAAAGAAAUCUCUCGGGAUAACACCCUGGGAGGAUGACGGCACCGUAAGAAGAAGCACCGGCUAACUACGUGCCAGCAGCCGCGGUAAUACGUAGGGUGCGAGCGUUAAUCGGAAUUACUGGGCGUAAAGCGUGCGCAGGCGGUGAUGUAAGACAGAUGUGAAAUCCCCGGGCUCAACCUGGGAACUGCGUUUGUGACUGCAUCACUCGAGUACGGCAGAGGGAGGUGGAAUUCCGCGUGUAGCAGUGAAAUGCGUAGAUAUGCGGAGGAACACCGAUGGCGAAGCAGCCUCCUGGGCCAGUACUGACGCUCAUGCACGAAAGC
rnacentral:rRNA from 1 species